UACGAAGGGGGCUAGCGUUGCUCGGAAUCACUGGGCGUAAAGGGUGCGUAGGCGGGUCUUUAAGUCAGGGGUGAAAUCCUGGAGCUCAACUCCAGAACUGCCUUUGAUACUGAGGAUCUUGAGUAUGGGAGAGGUGAGUGGAACUGCGAGUGUAGAGGUGAAAUUCGUAGAUAUUCGCAAGAACACCAGUGGCGAAGGCGGCUCACUGGCCCAUUACUGACGCUGAGGCACGAAAGCGUGGGGAGCAACAGGG
rnacentral:rRNA from 1 species